GGAAUUUUCCGCAAUGGGCGAAAGCCUGACGGAGCAACGCCGCGUGAGGGAUGAAGGCCUCUGGGCUGUAAACCUCCUUUCUCAAGGAAGAAGAUCUGACGGUACUUGAGGAAUAAGCCACGGCUAAUUCCGUGCCAGCAGCCGCGGUAAUACGGGAGUGGCAAGCGUUAUCCGGAAUUAUUGGGCGUAAAGCGUCCGCAGGCGGCCCUUCAAGUCUGCUGUUAAAAAGUGGAGCUUAACUCCAUCGUGGCAGUGGAAACUGUUGGGCUAGAGUGUGGUAGGGGCAGAGGGAAUUCCCGGUGUAGCGGUGAAAUGCGUAGAUAUCGGGAAGAACACCAGUGGCGAAGGCGCUCUGCUGGGCCAUAACUGACGCUCAUGGACGAAAGCCAGGGGAGCGAAAGGGAUUAGAUACCCCUGUAGUC
rnacentral:rRNA from 1 species